UACGAAGGGGGCUAGCGUUGCUCGGAAUUACUGGGCGUAAAGCGCACGUAGGCGGCUUUCUAAGUCGGGGGUGAAAUCCUGGAGCUCAACUCCAGAACUGCCUUCGAUACUGGAGAGCUCGAGUCCGGGAGAGGUGAGUGGAACUGCGAGUGUAGAGGUGAAAUUCGUAGAUAUUCGCAAGAACACCAGUGGCGAAAGGCGGCUCACUGGCCCGGUACUGAC
rnacentral:rRNA from 1 species